rnacentral:lncRNA from 1 species
CCCCCCACCCCUGGGCACAUUGAGAAGGCAGCCGCUGCAACCCAGGAAGUGGGCUCUCGCCAGGAACCAACCUUGCCAGCACCUUGAUCUUGGACUUACAGUUUCCAGAAGAAACCUCAAGCCAAGAAAUGAAUGUCCCUGGUUUGGUGGCUGCCAAGAAACAUGACAGAAGCAAACUCAUAACAUCUCUGAAAGGAAGCACCUCAAUCCAGGCCCCAGAGAGUUCCUAGAAUAAAGUCCCACCAAAUAUGAGUCCACAAUCCAAAAUUACAAAAUAGGUGAUCCAUGAGCUCCACAGGCAAGAGACCGCAGAAAUGACAAACAGCAGAGGCCAUCUCUCCCAAACUGCAGAUCUUGGAACUACUGGAUCCAGAAUAUAAGGUCCAGUGGCUCAUACCUGUAAUCCCAACACUCUGAG